CUCUGACUCUUGAGUUACAAGAGGGAGGAAGGACAGCGAUCCUUAGCACCAGGAUCUGCUGAGGAAGAAGAGAGCAGAGUGUGUGAAGUGCCUCCUCAUGGUGCCAGGUGACAUGAUGCGUGUCCUUGUACUCCCACGUGAGUAGCUCUCUUCUCUGGGACCACCUGCUCCAUCCUUUGCCCACUUAUCACUGUGCUCUCGCGCCUUUGGUUGCCAAGUUCCCAGAAGGUGCAGUCCACACCUGCUACCAGCUUCCUCUCAUCUCCUGUGGGAUCAUUUGCCGCCUCUCUGCAUCUCAGCCCCACACCUGGGACCGUCUCUAUGGGAGUGGUUUAUUGGAAAGCAAAGUGGGAUUUGUCCACAGGAGACGUGAGUUCAAGCUCUAGUUACGUCCUCCACUGGUUAUGGUCUUGGACAAGCCACUCGACCUCUCCGAGUGUCGCCGUCCUUGUCUGCAGAACAGGGACAAUAAUAAUUCCCACCUCAAAGGAUUGCAGUGAGGGGGGAUGUCAGAAGGUGACCUGAGCCUGAGGGCAUGGCACGCUCUGUCCAGCGCUCGUGUUCCUGGGCCCCCCUGGCGUCCUAGGAGAUGUUCUGACUGCACCCAGCUGUGCCAGGCGUCGUCUUACACAGUCCCUGAUGCCUUGAGGUCACCUAACACGAACCAACUUAAAGAAAGCCUCCCCUCGCGCUUUCCACGACCAACUUCCCGACCCCUUCCUUCCCCGCGUCCUACUCGUCCACCUGAAUGCACCAGGUUCCAUCACUUUUCCUCCAAAACGUCCUAAAAGAAUUCAAAGCCUCACUUUUCUUUCCCUUCUUGCAGCAUCCUCAAUGCUGUCCCGCUCCACCCAUCCUUCGGGACUAUUUCAGCCCUUCCGGCUGAGUUCUUGCUUCUGACCCCACCACACCCGAAUUCUGCAGCUACCAGCAGACGGAUCCUCCUCCCACAGCCUGCUUUUGUCCCACCACCUCCCUGGGCAGGAAUCUUCACUAGCUCCCCAUUGAAUGACAUCCAAACCCAGCCUAGCACACAGGGAUCUCCACACCACGGCCUCAGCUGACCGACCCUUUUAAUUCCAUCGCUUAAAAACAAUCUUGCUGAAGCCUGGAAGCACCGCACUGCCUUUCAGUGGGUGGAUGGCUAAGUGACCUGUGUACAUCCAGACAACAGGAUGUGACUGAGCACUCAAAAGAAACGAGCUGCCAGGCCCUGAAAAGACGUGGAGGGAACUUAAAUGGACUUCCUAAGUGAAAGAAGCUGGUCUGAAAGGCUGCAUGCUGUGGGAUGCCACCUUUAUGGCAUUCUGGAAAAUCAAAACUAUGGAGAUGAGUGUGCACCAGCAAGAGUGAGCCCGAAUGUAAACCCCAGGUGACGCCGGGUGAUGAUGAUGUGUCCGCCUGGGCUCAUCCAGGGUGGGACGCUGAAAUAGCACGGCUUGACGAGCGGUGCUAGAUCGCACCAGGGAUCCGAACCUGCGAACCCGGGCCAUCGAGGCAGAGUGCACGAACUUAACCGCUUCGCCACUAGCUGGCCCUUGCAUGUUUAUUUUAAUCAGAGAGAGACUGUAGCACGGCCUCCGGGUGGGAGCCUCCUUUCCCCUCUGUGAUGCAUCCUGGGCUUCAAGGGGUUAGCCCUCCAGUGAGUGGAUGCCCCUAACUCGCUGAAUUACCUCCUCUCCCUGCAUUUAUGGUGUGCCUUCUGUUUACUGCCC
rnacentral:lncRNA from 1 species